AGUGAACGCUGGCGGUAGGCCUAACACAUGCAAGUCGAACGGCAGCACAGUAAGAGCUUGCUCUUACGGGUGGCGAGUGGCGGACGGGUGAGGAAGACAUCGGAAUCUACUUUUUCGUGGGGGAGAACGUAGGGAAACUUACGCUAAUACCGCAUACGACCUACGGGUGAAAGCAGGGGAUCUUCGGACCUUGCGCGAUUGAAUGAGCCGAUGUCGGAUUAGCUAGUUGGCGGGGUAAAGGCCCACCAAGGCGACGAUCCGUAGCUGGUCUGAGAGGAUGAUCAGCCACACUGGAACUGAGACACGGUCCAGACUCCUACGGGAGGCAGCAGUGGGGAAUAUUGGACAAAGGGCGCAAGCCUGAUCCAGCCAUACCGCGUGGGUGAAGAAGGCCUUCUGGUUGUAAAGCCCUUUUGUUGGGAAAGAAAAGCAGCAGGUUAAUACCCCGCUGUUCUGACGGUACCCAAAGAAUAAGCACCGGCUAACUUCGUG
rnacentral:rRNA from 1 species